rnacentral:rRNA from 1 species
AGUUUGAUCCUGGCUCAGGAUAAACGCUGGCGGCGUGCCUAACACAUGCAAGUCGAACGAUCCCGCAAGGGAGAGUGGCGGAAGGGUGAGUAACACGUGGGAAUCUACCUCCUCGCAGGGAACAACCUCUCGAAAGAGAGGCUAAUACCCAAAAGGGUCAGAAAUGAUCAGAGUCGAAAGGCGUGAGGAGAGGAGCCCGCGGCCCAUCAGCUAGUUGGUGAGGUAAUGGCUUACCAAGGCUACGACGGGUAGGGGAUCUGAGAGGAUGUCCCCCACACUGGAACUGAAACACGGUCCAGACGCCUACGGGUGGCAGCAGUGAGGAAUGUUGGACAAUGGGCGAAAGCCCGAUCCAGCAACGCCGCGUGGAGGAUGAAGGCCUUCGGGUCGUAAACUUCUUUAGAGGGAGACGAGAAAGGACGGUAUCCCUAGAAUAAGCGACGGCAAACUACGUG